rnacentral:rRNA from 1 species
UAAUACUCCAUAGUUCGUUAUUACUGGAAUGUUUUUCGAACGAAAGAUCCGUCGCUUCAGGAUGAGUCUGCGGCCGAUUAGGUAGUUGUUGGGGUAAUUGCCCAACAAGCCUGUAAUCGGUACGGGUUGUGGGAGCAAGAGCCCGGAGAUGGAUUCUGAGACACGAAUCCAGGCCCUACGGGGCGCAGCAGGCGCGAAAACUUUACCAUGCGGGCAACCGUGAUAAGGAAACCCCGAGUGCCAGCACAGGCUGGCUGUCCGCCAGUUUAAACAACUGGCGAAGAAAGGGCCGGGCAAGACCGGUGCCAGCCGCCGCGGUAAUACCGGCGGCUCGAGUGGUGGCCGCUAUUACUGGGCUUAAAGGGUCCGUAGCUUGAUAAUAGGGUCCCUUGAGAAAUCCGCCGGCUUAACUGGCGGGCGUUCAGGGGAAACUUGUUUUCUAGGGACCGGGAGAGGUGAGGGGUACUGCCGGGGUACGAGUGAAAUCCUGUAAUCCCGGUGGGACCACCUAUGGCGAAGGCAUCUCACCAGAACGGGUCCGACAGUGAGGGACGAAAGCUGGGGGAGCAAACCGGAUUAGAUACCCGGGUAGUCCCAGCUGCUAACUAUGUGCGUUAAGGUGUGU